rnacentral:rRNA from 6 species
UUGACCUCGAAUCAGGUAGGGAUACCCGCUGAACUUAAGCAUAUC